rnacentral:tRNA from 1 species
UGGUCCGUUGGUCAAGGGGUUAAGACACCGCCUUUUCACGGCGGUAACACGGGUUCGAAUCCCGUACGGGCUAUC